UGCAACACAGCCUUUCUGGAAUACAAUAUU
rnacentral:piRNA from 1 species